UCGGAUUUUCAUCAGGCACAUAGCAUUUGUAUCUAUCAAACUAUAAAUAACUCUUAUUUAUAGACAUGGGCUUAUAUACGUGAAUAAAUAAAAGAAGGUAUCGCCAAUAGAUGCGGCCCAAAUGCAUGUUAUAGUAAAGCCUUGUUGAUAUCGUUAACUAUAUUCUGACUAAAAACAUAUUUGACAGAAAAUAAAAUAGUUAUUAAGUUGUGUACAACAUUUCCAAAAGAAUUCAUUUGACCGGCUUUGGGUUAUCAUUCAUUAAUUCGAAAAUGGACAUACCCGCAAAAGUAUUAGCAAUAGUACUUCUCUUUCUUGCGGACUUGGUAGCCGCCGAUUCGUUGAGCCCUGGAGAUAUAGCGGGCAUUGUUUUAGGACCACUGUGUUUCGCUCUUUCAAUAACUCUCAUCGUAUUGAUUGUACUGUAUUGCAAGAAGAAGGAUGAAGCAAAGAAAAACUAUGAGGAAAUUACAAAGUUAAAGAAUCGCAUAAGAGACAAUCAAGGAAAUAAUUGUGUUUAGCAAUGUGUACAUAUUUUCUAAGUUAAUAAAUAAAAUAGUAUAUUGUU